rnacentral:rRNA from 1 species
GACGGAGGGUGCUAGCGUUGUUCGGAAUCACUGGGCGUAAAGGGCGCGUAGGCGGCUCAUGGUGUCGGAUGUGAAAGCCCGGGGCUCAACCCCGGAGGUGCAUCCGAAACUCAUGGGCUGGAGGUCGGAAGAGGAGGGUGGAAUACCCAGUGUAGAGGUGAAAUUCGUAGAUAUCUGGAGGAACACCGGUGGCGAAGGCGGCAUCCUGGACCGGCAUUGACGCUGAGGCGCGAAAGCCAGGGGAGCAAACGGG